rnacentral:rRNA from 1 species
UACGGAGGGUGCGAGCGUUGUUCGGAUUUAUUGGGCGUAAAGCGCGUGCAGGCGGUCUUCUAAGUCUGAUGUGAAAGCCCCGGGCUUACCCCGGGAAGUGCAUUGGAAACUGGGAGACUUGAGUACGGGAGAGGGCAGCGGAAUUCCUGGUGUAGGGGUGAAAUCCGCAGAUAUCAGGAAGAACACCGGUGGCGAAGGCGGCUGCCUAGACCGAUACUGACGCUGAGACGCGAAAGCGUGGGGAUCAAACAGGAUUAGAUACCCUGGUAGUCCACGCCCUAAACGAUGAGUACUAGGUGUCGCGGGUAUUGACCCCUGCGGUGCCGCAGCUAACGCAAUAAGUACUCCGCCUGGGAAGUACGGCCGCAAGGCUAAA